UUAAUUAGUGAUUUCGGAGGAAUUUCCUUCAUUCCGUGGAGCCGCAAGAAACCCACGGAAACGGUGUUUGCAAUGGGCGAGCUUCUUCAAUCGAGUCCAUGGAGUCGGCAGGCACGUGAUGGAGUUCAUAUUUCUCCCUCAGAAAAAGAAAAGAAAAAAAAAACAGAAACCGUAAUGGAGUCCAUGACCUAACCGUGUUGAUGGGCAUGCAUAACCGGACCGGCCGACAUUGACAAUGGCGAAAGAUGAUCGCAAAGGCGGAUCGGUCGCCGUCACAUCAUAUCACCGGGUGGGUUCCGUGCCGCCGCUCGCCUUUGCCAACCAUCCCCGUUUCUUCUUCUUCUUCUUCCUGCCGAGGCAGCGCACACAACAUCAUUAUCC
rnacentral:lncRNA from 1 species